rnacentral:rRNA from 1 species
CGGGAUGGGCGGCGUGCUUACACAUGCAAGUCGAACGAUGAGAGGGAGCUUGCUCCCUGGAUUAGUGGCGAACGGGUGAGUAACACGUGAGUAACCUGCCCUUGACUCUGGGAUAAGCACUGGAAACGGUGUCUAAUACCGGAUACGAACUUCAGCCGCAUGGCUAGGAGUUGGAAAGAAUUUCGGUCAAGGAUGGACUCGCGGCCUAUCAGCUAGUUGGUGAGGUAAUGGCCCACCAAGGCGACGACGGGUAGCCGGCCUGAGAGGGUGACCGGCCACACUGGGACUGAGACACGGCCCAGACUCCUACGGGAGGCAGCAGUGGGGAAUAUUGCACAAUGGGCGCAAGCCUGAUGCAGCAACGCCGCGUGAGGGACGACGGCCUUCGGGUUGUAAACCUCUUUUAGUAGGGAAGAAGCGAAAGUGACGGUACCUGCAGAAAAAGCACCGGCUAACUACGUGCCAGCAGCCGCGGUAAUACGUAGGGUGCAAGCGUUAUCCGGAAUUAUUGGGCGUAAAGAGCUCGUAGGCGGUUUGUCGCGUCUGCUGUGAAAUCUGGGGGCUCAACCCCCAGCCUGCAGUGGGUACGGGCAGACUAGAGUGCGGUAGGGGAGAUUGGAAUUCCUGGUGUAGCGGUGGAAUGCGCAGAUAUCAGGAGGAACACCAAUGGCGAAGGCAGAUCUCUGGGCCGUAACUGACGCUGAGGAGCGAAAGCAUGGGGAGCGAACAGGAUUAGAUACCCUGGUAGUCCAUGCCGUAAACGUUGGGAACUAGAUGUAGGGUCCAUUCCACGGAUUCUGUGUCGCAGCUAACGCAUUAAGUUCCCCGCCUGGGGAGUACGGCCGCAAGGCUAAACUCAAGGAAUUGACGGGGGGCGCGCACAAGCGGCGGAGCAUGCGGAUUAAUUUCGAUGCAACGCGAAGAACCUUACCAAGGCUUGACAUAUACCGGAAACGGCCUGUAACCAGUCGCCCCGCAAGGUCGGGUAUACAGGUGGUGCAUGGUUGUCGUCAGCUCGUGGUCGUGAGAUGCUCGGAUUAAGUACCAGCACCAGCGCAACCCUCGAUUCUAUCGUUGCCAGCACGUAUGCUGGAACUCAUACGGAACUGCAGGAGUCAACUCGGACGCAACGUGGGGAAGACGUCGAAUGAUACUUGCUCUUAUGUUCUUGGCCUGACCGCAUGCCUUACAUGCGCGGUACAGCUUGCAUACGUAGGUGCAGCUAUUCCGAAGCGAAUCACGAUACGAAGUCG